rnacentral:sRNA from 1 species
GGAGAUAUCUUAGUUUGUGUUGGUGUUUUCUUGUAUGAGGUCAUCUAACAAAGCAAGAUAGGUUAUAAUUUGUACCAAUUUUGUGUCGGAAGAUGACAAGAUUAGUUUUAUAGGCCUCCAUGGGAAUUUCUUCAUGGAACUCUUCUCUUCCAUGGAGUUGCUCUGAGGAGGUUACACUUCCAUAGUCGUAUGUAUUUAUCUAUGU